rnacentral:rRNA from 1 species
GCGGCGGAAGGGAGAGGACAGCAUGGGAAACUGCCCUGGGGACGAGGAUAGCGUCGGGAAACUGACGGUAAUACUCGAUAAUGUUUGCGGACCAAAGGUGUGAUUCCGCCCCAGGAUGUGCCCAUGCCCCAUUAGCUAGUUGGCGGUGUAAUGGACCACCAAGGCUAUGAUGGGUAGCUGGUGUGAGAGCACGACCAGCCUCACUGGCACUGAGACACUGGCCAGACACCUACGGGUGGCUGCAGUCGAGAAUCUUCGGCAAUGGACGAAAGUCUGACCGAGCGACGCCGCGUGCGGGAUGAAGGCCUUCGGGUUGUAAACCGCUGUCGAGGGGAAUCAAAUGCAAGGGGGUUCUCCCCCCUGCUUGAGAGAACCCUGGAGGAAGGGGAGGCUAAGCUCGUGCCAGCAGCCGCGGUAAGACGAGCUCCCCAAACGUUAUUCGGUAUCACUGGGCUUAAAGAGUUCGUAGGCGGCGAAGUAGGUGAGGUGUGAAAGCCCUCGGCU